rnacentral:rRNA from 1 species
AGGAGGCAGCAGUAAGGAAUAUUGCACAAUGGGGGAAACCCUGAUGCAGCAACGCCGCGUGAAGGAAGAAGGUCUUCGGAUUGUAAACUUCUUUGAUGAGGGACGAAAAAAAUGACGGUACCUCAAAAACAAGCCACGGCUAACUACGUGCCAGCAGCCGCGGUAAUACGUAGGUGGCGAGCGUUGUCCGGAAUUAUUGGGCGUAAAGGGCGCGUAGGCGGUCAUUUAAGUCAGAUGUGAAAUCCCGAGGCUUAACUUCGGGCGUGCAUUUGAAACUGGGUGGCUAGAGUGCAGGAGAGGUAAGUGGAAUUACUAGUGUAGCGGUGAAAUGCGUAGAUAUUAGGAGGAACACCAGUGGCGAAGGCGACUUACUGGACUGUAACUGACGCUGAGGCGCGAAAGCGUGGGGAGCAAACAGGAUUAGAUACCCGUGU